UACAGAGGGUGCGAGCGUUGUUCGGAAUUAUUGGGCGUAAGGCGCGCGCAGGCGGGAUGGUAAGUCGGAUGUGAAAGCCCUCGGCUCAACCGAGGAAGUGCGUUCGAAACUACUGUUCUUGAGUGUCGGAGAGGGUGGCGGAAUUCCCGGUGUAGAAGUGAAAUUCGUAGAUAUCGGGAGGAACACCAGAGGCGAAGGCGGCCACCUGGACGAACACUGACGCUGAGGCGCGAAAGCGUGGGGAGCAAACAGG
rnacentral:rRNA from 1 species